UACGUAGGGGGCUAGCGUUGUCCGGAAUCAUUGGGCGUAAAGCGCGUGUAGGCGGUCCGGUAAGUCCGCUGUGAAAGUCAAAGGCUCAACCUUUGAAAGCCGGUGGAUACUGUGGGACUAGAGUACGGAAGAGGCGAGUGGAAUUCCUGGUGUAGCGGUGGAAUGCGCAGAUAUCAGGAGGAACACCAAUAGCGAAGGCAGCUCGCUGGGACGUUACUGACACUGAGGCGCGAAAGCUAGGGGAGCGAACAGG
rnacentral:rRNA from 1 species